UACAGAGGUCUCAAGCGUUGUUCGGAUUCAUUGGGCGUAAAGGGUGCGUAGGCGGCGCGGUAAGUCGGGUGUGAAAUCUCGGGGCUUAACUCCGAAACUGCAUUCGAUACUGCCGUGCUUGAGGACUGGAGAGGAGACUGGAAUUUACGGUGUAGCGGUGAAAUGCGUAGAUAUCGUAAGGAAGACCAGUGGCGAAGGCGGGGUCUCUGGACAGUUCCUGACACUGAGGCACGAAGGCCAGGGGAGCAAACGGG
rnacentral:rRNA from 1 species